UACGAAGGGUGCAAGCGUUACUCGGAAUUACUGGGCGUAAAGCGUGCGUAGGUGGUUUGUUAAGUCUGAUGUGAAAGCCAUGGGCUCAACCUGGGAAUUGCACUGGAUACUGGCAGGCUAGAGUGCGGUAGAGGAUGGCGGAAUUCCCGGUGUAGCAGUGAAAUGCGUAGAGAUCGGGAGGAACAUCUGUGGCGAAGGCGGCCAUCUGGACCAGCACUGACACUGAGGCACGAAAGCGUGGGGAGCAAACAGG
rnacentral:rRNA from 1 species